GAAAAGAAAAAGAAAGAAAGCAAAACAUAUAGCUUAGUGUAAAUCUCCACAAUCCCAUGUCCUAUAUUACUAGAGUUUAUUCCCCAAAUACCUGUUCAAUGUCCACCACCAACAGUUGUGGACCAACUGGAAGCAAAAAUCUCAUCAUAAAAAAUACCACUGCUGCUAAGACUCACAAUAUUUAACCAAAAGCAUACAAAUGGUGUGAAAAUACUACCUCAAGCCUAU
rnacentral:misc_RNA from 1 species